AUUGAACGCUGGCGGCAGGCCUAACACAUGCAAGUCGAGCGGAUGAGUGGAGCUUGCUCCAUGAUUCAGCGGCGGACGGGUGAGUAAUGCCUAGGAAUCUGCCUGGUAGUGGGGGACAACGUUUCGAAAGGAACGCUAAUACCGCAUACGUCCUACGGGAGAAAGCAGGGGACCUUCGGGCCUUGCGCUAUCAGAUGAGCCUAGGUCGGAUUAGCUAGUAGGUGAGGUAAUGGCUCACCUAGGCGACGAGCCGUAACUGGUGUGAGAGGAUGAUCAGUGAGAGUGGAAAUGAGACACGGUCCAGACUCCUACGGGAGGCAGCAGUGGGGAAGAUUUGACAAUGGGCGAAAGCCUGAGCCAGCCAUGCCGCGUGUGUGAAGAAGGUCUUCGGAUUGUAAAGCACUUUAAGUUGGGAGGAAGGGCAGUAAGUUAAUACCUUGCUGUUUUGACGUUACCAACAGAAUAAGCACCGGCUAACUUCGUGCCAGCCGCCGCCGUAAUAC
rnacentral:rRNA from 1 species